UGUGUCUGUCUGUGUAUGUUGCGUUUGUUUAUCUGAGUGGCAGCUUCAAUUUGAAUCUAGAGCAAACAGAUCAUGGAUAGUGAGAGGAUGAGCUUAUCUCUUUUGCUUCUGUAAGUCAGGAGUAACUCAAUCUUUGGAUUUAUAUCUUCUAUUAAUAUAGCUCUUUGGGCUUUGUGGUAUUCAAACCAUAGGCCCUGAAAUAACCAGACCAAAAAAAGACACGACAAGGGGGCCAGGAAGUGACCUCAGAGCAUAUCAAAAGUCGGUCUGCAGUAGGUGUCUCACUCCUUCCCUCCACCAGCGACUACUUCAGAGCAUGAUGGAAGGCACCAGGACUCUCUGGCUAUUUUUCCUUCUCAACCAGAUGCCCUACUGUCAUACUGACACAUUCCAAGACCUUUCAACAAUCCAGACAGAUUCAUCCAAAACUGAUGACCAAGGUACCAGCCCAACCCCUGAAGCGAAGGGCAGCUUUAAUACUAAUGAUUACAAAAACUCCACCAAUGGGACUUAUGCAGAGUGCCUGAUUGACACUAAGAUGGGUCAGAUUGCUAUAGGUUCAGCAGGGGUGUUGAUUGUCUGCUUACUGUUUACCACAGUUGUACUGGCAUGCCAGAUCUGCCAGCUACAGCACCGUGUUUUUAUUCCUCGAACCUCACGGUCCAACAAGGACUUAGUUAGUGGUGCAGACUACUGGGACCGUCCAGAGGUUACAGGACUGGUUGGGCCGUGCGACACCAAUGUCAUGUUAGAGGAGGUGAGAGCAGACAUUGUGAUCAAGGAAGAAGAGCAGGCAGUGGUGGCGGGUGGGCCAACAGUUGAAGAAGGGGCCAAAGCAAUGGUUUUUGACCUUGAAGAAAAGGCCAGCCAAAUGCAAAGCUCCAGCUCCAGGGACUCCUGUUUGGAAGUUCCCAAGGACAUAGAAAACAUGCCACUUGUUGUGUAAGGACGGAACUCUAUUCCCUACCCUAUUCAACACCAGCCACUGACAUAUCCAGUCAGCUAAGCUGAUCUGUUAUCGGUUAACUUUGCAUGUUUCAAAUUCUUUGCAGUUUAUUUCACACAUGUGGACUUAACUCUCGAAUGCUUAGUCUUUCAGUAAUGUUAUCUCAUCAGCAUAACGUCUAAAUCCAGCAAAUUACAGCGUCAAAAUGUCUGUCAAUGUUUUUCAACCCAACAGAGAUUUUCACUUUAGUUAAUUAUACUUCAUUUGGAAUACAGAGAAUAUUUCAAUGCUUGUCUUUGUGAAGAAUAGCAUUGCUGACAGCCUUGGUCAUGGAUAAAGCUCUUCUGAAGCUCACUGACAGGCACACGAAAACAAUUAAAAACUAUUAUUUUCAUGGGAAAACUUACAUAUUUGUUGCACACUUGAGUUGGAUCAAUUCUUUUUCUUGUACAAAGUAACAAACUGGAUACAAUAAUAAUAAAAAAAUACAACAACUACUCAUCACUUGAUUUCACACCAUUUACCUAAUAUACUAACCAAAUCCUGAGCUGAAAUGAUGGUUAGAAGCAAAGUUCAACAGUGAUUUAUUAUUAUUGCAAGGAGUGUUCCUUGGGUUCUGUCAGUUAAGUAUGCACGAUCUCUUAAACGUACUGCAGACUUUUUAAUAUUAUCGCUCAUUUGUAACUUUUGUACAUGAAGAAAUAAAAAAAAUUAAAAUAAAAACAUGUUUGCUAUGUGUCAAUGUAACUUUUGUACAUGAAGAAAACAUAUAAUUAAAUAAAACCAUGUUUGCUAAGUGUCAA